rnacentral:rRNA from 1 species
UGAUCUGACCUCAAAUCAGGUAGGCUACC